UGACAUACCUACUAUGAAGAGUGGAUUGACCUUCUGGAAUUUCAGAUAGAGUGAAGACCUCAAUUAUUUCAACAGUAGUGUUUGUGAUCUCCUACAUUCCAGAGUCUUGCCUUGAGGAUAAAAAGGAGAUAUUCAGGCUCAAUUCAAUCAGAUGGGACAUGGAGGAGAAGCCAAAGUAAUAACAACAAUCAAUAAUGACAACAACUGAAAUUAGAAAAUUGUAUACCUACAGCCAGAGCCUGGGACUGCAUCGUGAAUACUGUUAAUCAAAUCAGACUUGGAGCAUUGCAACAGGAGAUCGAACUUGAUGGAACAGGAGGUGUAGACUUCUCCAGCUGCCCAAAGAAAACAAUCCUUCAGGAGAGACAGACACAAAAAUAAUUUAUCGGUGAUAGUGAUGGAGCAACUAAAGGACCUUGGACCCAAGACUUUAGACUGAGAAACUCUUCAGAAGAAUUGAGUCUAAUGUUAUGACUUGCAUCGUGCCAUUCACAUUCUUCAAUCUAUGCAAAACUAUGCAAAACUGGAAAAAUACGGGGAUGCAUCACCAGAGCACAAGAGAAGCACCGACUGUUAUCAAGAUAUCACACGCGCUUAGCCUGCCAAUUGUAUCCUUUGUACCAAUUUACAUAAGAGCCCUCAGCAUGGAAAAAUGUAUUCUGUCAGAUCACGACUGAAAGGUAAUUUCAGAGAUGCAGGGUUUAUCCUUCUGCAGUCUGAAACUCCGCUAAUUGAACUGACGCUGCUCUUCCUUAUACCACGAAUCAAGCAGCAGCAGACACUUGACGCACAAAUGGCACGACUGUGCAAGCGACUUUCUAGAGGAUGCUUCCAUAGUAAGAAGAUUCAAGCAUACAAAAAUGGCUAAAUUUACAUCCAAACGUGGUUUGUUUUCAAUUAUUUGAGGUUCCAGAGCAAAUGCGGGCCAAUGGAAACACCCAAGAACUCCAUCAGGCAGCUUCAGUUGGUUUUAGUGGUUGAU